rnacentral:lncRNA from 1 species
ACAAAUUGAUCAUGAGAGGAAUUUCAUUUGAUCAAAACCAUCCACUCAUUUUGGGUAGGUGAAAUGUACAUUUCAUCAAUCCCCUAAAUCCAAUGGUUUUGAUCCAACAAAAGUCAAAUCAACCAUUAACAAGGUCCACACAUAAAGUCAAACAUCACAAGACCUUAAAAAUGGCUUAACAUAAUUUUCAAACAUAUAAUCAAUCAAAAAUCAAUUUAAAAAUGAAUUUAAAUGCAUUUUAAUUUGGACAAAAC